rfam:Homo sapiens chromosome 6, GRCh38 reference primary assembly.
GUCUAUGGCCAUACCACCCUGAAAACACGCAAUCUUGUCUGAUCUUGGAAGCUAAGCAGGGUUGUGCCUGGUUAGUAUUUGGGUGGGCUAUAGGCU